AUAUGAUGAGCACAAAGUGAACUAUUCUUUCGCCUUUUACUAAAGAAUACCGUGUGCUAUGAUAUAGUUGUUCAUGGAUCUAAAAUGAAAACAGAUAGAUGUUUA
rnacentral:snRNA from 2 species